UUGAGAGCAUUUUAACAAACUGCAUCACUGUUUGGUUUGGUGGUUGCAGUGCCUCAGAGAGAAAGUUCAUUCAGAGAGUGGAAAGAAGAAGAUAAAGCAAAAUAGAAAAAAUAUUUUUGUAACCAUGAGGCCAAUCUUACUCCAAGCACUUGUAAAGAGAGGGGCUGCUUUUUCACUUCUUCAAAGUGCAAAUUUGCUGAUAUGCAGAUAAGAAAAAUCCUUGACUGCAAAGCUGGAAUAUAACAAUAAAUUUCUUUAACAUAA